rnacentral:rRNA from 1 species
GCACCAUGAUCUUUAAUAGCCGCUUUCGUGCUAAGGUAGCAUAAUAAUUAGCCUAAUAAUUUUAGGAUAGAAUGAAAGGUCUAACAUGAUGCUUUCUUUAUUUACCCCUAACUAUUGAAACUCACAUGAGUGUUAAAAGGCUCUCAUUUCCAAGGAGGACGACAAGACCCUGUCGAGCUUCACUCACAAAAGUUUUGCUGGGGCGGCAAAAAACUAUAUCUUUUUCUUUGUAAAUACUACUAUCCUAAUUUUGAUAAACAAGCUACCGCAGGGAUAACAGCACAAUUAAUUUUAAGAGACCUUAUCAAAAUCUUCGAUUGUGACCUCGAUGUUGAAUUAAUAUCCUCUUACGAAGCAAAAUUCUAAAAAGUAAGUCUGUUCGACUUUUAAUAUAUUACAUGAUUUGAGUUCAGACCGGCGCAAGCCAGGUCGGUUUCUAUCCUCUUUUAAAAAAUUUCAGUACGAAAGGAAAAAAUUUUUAGUAAAUUUACU